CUAAUUUGAGAUGCACCUGUAUCUACAUCUUGGAUGGCCUGAGGGUGAGUCCAUUUUCAUAGAGAUGGUAUUCAAAACAUUGCAUCCGAGAUCUUCCAGCUGAAAGAAAUGUGAUGCAUCACAAUUGGAUGAAUCACAGUGUGGUUUAUUUUUUACAGGGGAUUGUAACUCUACCCCUUCAGAGACGUCAACAACCAAAAAAGAUACUCGGUUAUCAGCGGAGAAGGAGUCCUCAUCAGACACCUCGACAAACACUCAGGAAAGUGAAGAUGGUUCCCCACCCACAAAGAAAAGUAGAGUGGAAUCAUCUUCUCAGGACUUAGAUAACUAAAGCUGACUAGUUUGCUCCCAUGUUUCAAACACGUCACUGUCACAAACCAAUGAGGAAACACAACACACUUAACAAUCCAUUCCUGAUCUUUAAGUACAGCUUCACCCUGUUCAUCAUCUUCUCACCUGGAGCGAACAUUGUCGCUGUGCCAGUGAACCGAGGCCGACGACGAACACUGACCUGAUCCUGUGAGAAACCUGCAGCCUCGCUCCAUUCAACUCAUGCACGAUAUACAGCGUUAGUUUAACAGUAAUGAGAGUGAAUGCACUGCAUAGAUUUGUCAAGAUAAAAGAUGGAUUUGCUGCUGUGAUCAUCUUUGUUUUAAGUCUUCUAUUAUUUAAUUGAAUGACUCUACUAGUUGUUUUUCGAACUAUUUUGCAGGUUGUUGUAUGGUUAUAGUGCUGGUGUUUGGUUUGUUCAUAGAUUCUCUACUGGUUAGUGUGCCUUCUGGCUCCAUGAUGUGUGAUUUUAUUUUUUUAUUUUUGUGGCUUUUGUUUUUUUAAAAGCUUUUCAAAGCAUCACUGCUUUUUAAGGGGAUGAAUAAUGUUUUGUUACAUGUCAAAAUGAAUCGAAUAUAUACCUCAUUUCCAAACCAGCUGAGCUGGAACUUAAUUCUUGAUUGAUGGAUAAAUCCUAUUCACUGAACACAAUCGGGCAGUUUUUAAAUGUCAUUUUCAACAAUAAAUCCAUUCUCACUUCAAUCUGAUGUAGCAACGUUCAAGGAACAUACAAUGAAAUACUCUAUAGAUACAUUGGGACCAUGUUUUCUUGAAAUGAAUUGGUUUUGUACAGUUGAUUAAUUUUGGUUUUUAUUUAUUUCACCAUUAGUGCUUAUUUUUAGCAUAUUCAAUUUGUUUUAAUAAAAAAUGUUAACUGAAAUGAUUACGACUAGCCUAUUUUUUUAUGACUAUUUAGCU
rnacentral:lncRNA from 1 species